rnacentral:piRNA from 1 species
AAUGGGAUUAGAAAUAUACAGGGAUGGCA